rnacentral:rRNA from 1 species
UACGGAGGGUGCAAGCGUUAUCCGGAUUCACUGGGUUUAAAGGGUGCGUAGGCGGAUUGGUAAGUCCGUGGUGAAAUCCCCAAGCUUAACUUGGGAACUGCCAUUGAUACUAUCAGUCUUGAAUACUGUGGAGGUUAGCGGAAUAUGUCAUGUAGCGGUGAAAUGCUUAGAUAUGACAUAGAACACCAAUUGCGAAGGCAGCUGGCUACACAAUUAUUGACACUGAGGCUCGAAAGCGUGGGGAUCAAACAGG